rnacentral:rRNA from 1 species
UACAGAGGUCUCAAGCGUUGUUCGGAUUCAUUGGGCGUAAAGGGUGCGUAGGCGGCGCGGUAAGUCGGGUGUGAAAUCUCGGAGCUUAACUCCGAAACUGCAUUCGAUACUGCGGUGCUUGAGGACUGGAGAGGAGACUGGAAUUCAUGGUGUAGCAGUGAAAUGCGUAGAGAUCAUGAGGAAGACCAGUGGCGAAGGCGGGUCUCUGGACAGUUUCUGACACUGAGACACGAAGGCCAGGGGAGCAAAACGGGG